rnacentral:rRNA from 1 species
GAUGAACGCUGGCGGCGUGCCUAAUACAUGCAAGUCGAGCGGUAAGGCUCCUUCGGGAGUACACGAGCGGCGGACGGGUGAGUAAUACGUAGGAACGUACCCCAAAGUGAGGAAUAACCAGCCGAAAGGUUGGCUAAUACCGCAUAUGCUCUACGGAGUAAAGCAGCAAUGCGCUUUGGGAACGGCCUGCGUCCGAUUAGCUAGUUGGUAAGGUAAAGGCUUACCAAGGCGACGAUCUGUAGCUGUUCUGAGAGGAUGAUCAGCCACACUGGAACUGAGACACGGUCCAGACUCCUACGGGAGGCAGCAGUAGGGAAUUUUCCACAAUGGGCUAAAGCCUGAUGGAGCAACGCCGCGUGCAGGAUGAAGGCCUUAGGGUUGUAAACUGCUUUUAUCUGUGACGAUUAUGACAGUAGCAGAUGAAUAAGGAUCGGCUAACUCCGUGCCAGCCGCCGCGGUAA